rnacentral:rRNA from 1 species
CAGUAGCCGCGGGAAUACGAAGGGUGCAAGCGUUAAUCGGAAUUACUGGGCGUAAAGCGCGCGUAGGUGGCUUGGUAAGAUGGAUGUGAAAUCCCCGGGCUCAACCUGGGAACUGCAUCCAUAACUGCCUGACUAGAGUACGGUAGAGGGUGGUGGAAUUUCCUGUGUAGCGGUGAAAUGCGUAGAUAUAGGAAGGAACACCAGUGGCGAAGGCGACCACCUGGACUGAUACUGACACUGAGGUGCGAAAGCGUGGGGAGCAAACAGGAUUAGAUACCCGCGUAGUCCCUGUCUCUUAUAC